ensembl:snoRNA SNORA72 Small nucleolar RNA SNORA72
CUGCGAAUAUUCUCGCUGUUCUGAUUUUGUAAUAAUCAGGGCAGGCUAAACAUUUGCUAUAUUAAGACCAUGCUUGUGUCUCCAGACCUAGUUCUUUGCCUAGCUCUGGUUUUAUAAAUGCUGGUGAUAAAC